ACGCUCGACACCUACGGUAGGCAGCAGUGGGGAAUAUUGCACAAUGGGGGAAACCCUGAUGCAGCAACGCCGCGUGAGUGAAGAAGUAUUUCGGUAUGUAAAGCUCUAUCAGCAGGGAAGAUAAUGACGGUACCUGACUAAGAAGCUCCGGCUAAAUACGUGCCAUCAGCCGCGGUAAUCUGAGGCGGCUGGCAAGGC
rnacentral:rRNA from 1 species